UGCUACUGUCAGCUGAUUUGCAGUUAAAACUCAGCGAUCUGGCUCCAGCAGGGAGCUGCUCUGGUUUUUAGAGACAUUCUGGAAAAGCCAGUCUAGCAACAGCACAAGGGGUGUUACCGAUGGUGAGGAGCUGCAGGGCUCAGGACAGAGCCCCUGUGUUCUGCUCAACAGCAGAUGAGAGAGACACUUGCUCUGCUCUAUCUCCUGACACUCAGAAGUCAGGGCAGGAUGAAAACAGUUUCUACUGGUUCUGCUGUAGAAUCAGGUGUUUCUACUGAUUUUUUGAAACUUGUACUUCAAAUCAAAGAAAUACACAUACUCCUUUCUACCUUCAUGUUUGUCUGAAAUAAAUUAAAAAUGUUCACUCCGGUAUAAAAAUUAAAAACUUAAAAUCCUACCUGACUUGGAUAGGAAACUUGAUGACAGGGAUCCCAGAUGUAAGGAUGAAAGCAUUCUAAGAUCAUAUAAAAUCAUUUUGGGUGUAAUCGUCUUACAUUUAUAGACUACUUUGAAAUGUUGCUGAUAACAUUAUUUCUAAAACUUUAGUACUG
rnacentral:lncRNA from 1 species